ACUCCUACGGGAGGCAGCAGUGGGGAAUAUUGCACAAUGGGCGCAAGCCUGAUGCAGCCAUGCCGCGUGUAUGAAGAAGGCCUUCGGGUUGUAAAGUACUUUCAGCAGUGAGGAAGGUGUUGUCGUUAAUAGCGGCAUCAUUUGACGUUAGCUGCAGAAGAAGCACCGGCUAACUCCGUGCCAGCAGCCGCGGUAAUACGGAGGGUGCGAGCGUUAAUCGGAAUUACUGGGCGUAAAGCGCAUGCAGGUGGUUUGUUAAGUCAGAUGUGAAAGCCCGGGGCUCAACCUCGGAAUUGCAUUUGAAACUGGCAGACUAGAGUACUGUAGAGGGGGGUAGAAUUUCAGGUGUAGCGGUGAAAUGCGUAGAGAUCUGAAGGAAUACCGGUGGCGAAGGCGGCCCCCUGGACAGAUACUGACACUCAGAUGCGAAAGCGUGGGGAGCAAACAGGAUUAGAUACCCUGGUAGGAUAGCC
rnacentral:rRNA from 1 species